CCUACGGGAGGCAGCAGUGAGGAAUAUUGGUCAAUGGGCGCGAGCCUGAACCAGCCAAGUCGCGUGAGGGAAGAAGGUCCUAUGGAUUGUAAACCUCUUUUGUCGGGGAGCAAAAGCCGCCACGCGUGGCGUUCCGAGAGUACCCGAAGAAAAAGCAUCGGCUAACUCCGUGCCAGCAGCCGCGGUAAUACGGAGGAUGCGAGCGUUAUCCGGAUUUAUUGGGUUUAAAGGGUGCGAAGGCGGAUGGGAAAGUCAGCGGUAAAAUUGAGGGGCUCAACCCCGUCGGGCCGUUGAAACUGGUUGUCUUGAGUGAGCGAGAAGUAUGCGGAAUGCGUGGUGUAGCGGUGAAAUGCAUAGAUAUCACGCAGAACUCCGAUUGCGAAGGCAGCAUACCGGCGCUCAACUGACGCUCAUGCACGAAAGUGUGGGUAUCGAACAGGAUUAGAUACCCGAGUAGUC
rnacentral:rRNA from 1 species